rnacentral:tRNA from 2 species
AAACAUCCGCCGGUAGAACGGAAAUCAUUGAUGUUGAUUAAUAUGAAAGUUAAGUAUUACAUUUUCGGUGUUUA